rnacentral:rRNA from 1 species
AUUGAACGCUGGCGGCAGGCCUAACACAUGCAAGUCGAACGCGUGGCGGACGGGUGAGUAAUGUCUGGGAAACUGCCUGAUGGAGGGGGAUAACUACUGGAAACGGUAGCUAAUACCGCAUACCAUCAGAUGUGCCCAGAUGGGAUUAGCUAGUUGGUGGGGUAAAGGCUCACCAAGGCGACGAUCUCUAGCUGGUCUGAGAGGAUGACCAGCCACACUGGAAAGUAGACACGGUCCAGACUCCUACGUGAGGCAGCAGUGGGGAAUAUGGCACAAUGGGCGGAAGCCGGAUGCAGCCAUGCCGCGUGUAUGAAGAAGGCCGUCGGGUUGUAAAGGACUUUCAGCGGUGAGGCGUUACCCGCAGAAGAAGCACCGGCUAACUCCGUGCCAGCAGCCGCGGUAAUAC